GUGGGGAAUCUUAGACAAUGGGCGCAAGCCUGAUCUAGCCAUGCCGCGUGAGCGAUGAAGGCCUUAGGGUUGUAAAGCUCUUUCGUGGGGGAAGAUAAUGACUGUACCCCAAGAAGAAGCCCCGGCUAACUCCGUGCCAGCAGCCGCGGUAAUACGGAGGGGGCUAGCGUUGUUCGGAAUUACUGGGCGUAAAGCGCACGUAGGCGGACUGGAAAGUCAGGGGUGAAAUCCCGGGGCUCAACCCCGGAACUGCGUUUGAAACUCCCAGUCUUGAGUUCGAGAGAGGUGAGUGGAAUUCCGAGUGUAGAGGUGAAAUUCGUAGAUAUUCGGAGGAACACCAGUGGCGAAGGCGGCUCACUGGCUCGAUACUGACGCUGAGGUGCGAAAGCGUGGGGAGCAAACAGGAUUAGAUACCCCGGUAGUCC
rnacentral:rRNA from 1 species